rnacentral:tRNA from 1 species
GAUGAGGUGGCUGAGUGGUUAAGGCGAUGGACUGCUAAUCCAUUUUACUCUGCACGCAUGGGUUCAAAUCCCAUCCUCAUUG